rnacentral:rRNA from 1 species
CGUGUAGGCGGUUUUGUAAGUUAGAUGUGAAAUCUUAGGGCUCAACCCUAAAACUGCAUUUAAUACUGCAUAACUAGAGUACAAAAGAGGGAGAUGGAAUUCUCGGUGUAAGAGUGAAAUCUGCAGAUAUCGAGAGGAACACCAGUAGCGAAGGCGAUCUCCUGGGUUGAUACUGACGCUGAAACACGAAAGCUAGGGGAGCGAACAGGAUUAGAUACCCUGGUAGUCC